rnacentral:sRNA from 1 species
AUGUACUGGGCGUACGCUGCGUUACUUCGCGCUGUCCGCAGCCACCUGACGACUGCUCGCUAGGUUUUGUCAGUC